AUUAUGGGGGCAGGUCCUUACUGGGCUCUUCUCGUGAUAGUGAAUGAGUCUCUUGAGAUCUGAUGGUUUUAAAAGCAGGCGUUUCUCUGCACAAACUCUCUUUUUGGCUUCCACCUCCACAUAAGAAGUGACGAGCACCUCUUUGCUUUCCGCCAUGAUUGUGAGGCCUCCCCAACCUCAUGAAACUAGAUUUGUGGAACUAUGAACUUGGGGAGAUGAUUUAGGGUACCUGGCUGAAGAAAUUUCUAAGCAGCAAAGCAUUCAAGAGAUGACUUAGGUGCUGAUAAAGGCAUUCAGUUUUAUAAAGGAAGCAGAGCUUUUAUAAAAGCUUGGAAAAUUUGCAGGCUGGCAAUGCAAUAGGAAAGAAAAUCCCAUUUUCUGAGAAGAAAUUCAAGCCAGCUGCAGAAAUUUGCAUAAGUAAUGAGGAGCCGAAUAGUAAUUCCAAAGACAAUGAGGAAAAUGUCCCCAAGGCAUGUCAGAGGCCUUCACAGCAGCUCCUCCCAUCACAGGCCUUGAGACCUAGGAUGAAAAAGUAGUUUUGUGGGCCAGGCCCAGGGCUCCCCUGCUGUGUGCAGCCUAAGGACUUGGUGCCCUGUGUCUCAGCCACUCCAGCUGUGGCUGAAAGGUGCAAACAUAGAGCUCAGGCCAUGGCUUCAGAGGGUGUAAGCCUCAAGCCUUGGUAGCUUCCACAUGGUGCUGAGCCUGACAGUGUACAGAAGUCAAGAACUGGGGUUUGAGAACCUCCGCCUAGAUUUCAGAGGAUGGAUGGAAACACCUGAAUGUCCAGGCAGAAGUUUGCUACUGAGGUGGUGCUAUCAUGGAGAACCUUUGCUAGGGCAGUGCAGUAGGGAAAUGUAGGGUCAGAGUUCCCACACAGUCCCUACUGGGGCAUUGCCUAGUGGAGCUGUGAGAAGAGAGCCACUGUCCUCCAGACCCCAGAAUGGGAGAUCCAAUGACAGCUUGCACCGUGCACCUGGAAAAGCCAUAGACGCUCAAUGCCAGCUUAUGAAAGCAGCCAGGGAGGGAGGCUGUACCCUGCAAAGCCACAGGGGCGGAACUGCCCAAGACCAUGGGAACUCACCUCUUACAUCUGCAUGACCCAGAUGUGAGACAUGGAGUCAAAGAAGAUCAUUUUGGAGCUUUAAGAUUUGACUAACCUGCUGGAUUUUGGACUUGCAUGGGGCCUGUAUCUCCUCUGUUUUGCCCAUUUUCUCCCAUUUGGCAUGGCUGUAUUGGCCGAAUGCCUGUACCCUCAUUGUAUCUAGGAAGUAACUAACUUGCUUUUGAUUUUACAGGCUCAUAAGUGGAAGAGACUUGCCUUGUCUCAGAUGAGACUUUGGACUGUGGACUUUUGAGUUAAUGCUGAAAUGAGUUAAGACUUUGAGGGACUAUUGGGAAGGCAUGAUUGUUUUUGAAAUGUGAGUACAUGAGAUUUGGGAGGGGCUUGGGGGUGGAAUGAUAUGGUUGGUUGUCCCCACCCAAAUCUCAUUUUGAAUUGUAGCAGUUCCCACAUGUCACGGGAGGAACCUGGUAAGAGGUGAUUGAUUAUGGGGACGGUUCUUUCCAGUGUGUUCUCAUGAUAGUGAACAAAUCUCAGGAGAUAUGAUGAUUUUAAAAACAGGAGUUCUGCUGCACAAGUUCUCUUUUUGCCUGCCACCAUCCACUUAAGAUAUGACCUGCUUCUCUUUGCUUUCUGCCAUGAUUGUGAGGCCUCCGCAGACAUGUGGAACUGUGAUUCCAAUUGAACCUCUUUCUUUUUUAAAUUGCCCAGUCUCUGGUAUGUCCUUAUCAGCAGUGUAAAGAUGGACUAAUACAGGGCAUUCAUGACUUACUGUCUCACAAUAUGGUCCCAAAUUGAGUGAAUUAGCCUAGUGUUUUUCAAAACAUGUUUGCAAGAUGAUCCUCAGAAAGAGCAUCUAGGAAGCCUUGCAUCCUUUAAUUCCCCUUUGAGGUCAGUAUUUCAUUGAGCUGAACUGAUUAUACAUGAAGAACACUAAAAAUACUAUUUUAUUUAUUUCAUCCAACAUUUCUCAAGAACCAUAUUUCCCUUGCUCCCAAUUUUUUUUUUUACGUUGUUAUUGGGAUUUAACACAUGCUUUGAAAAUCGGACAAACUGAAGUUUUACAUAAAGCUAUCUUAAUAGAAAAAAACUUCACCUUAAAAAAUAAAAAUGAGUAUUGGUUGUAUUGAUGCAGUAGCUAAAACAUCUUUGCAAAAAUUACAAUAUCAAAUAAGAUUUUAUGUUUUAAAUUCAGUUCAAGACUUGCUUUCUCAUUACUUCCUAGGUUUCUCACUGUCUAUUUUCACUCUUUGUUAAAAAUAAUAAGAAUCAAAAUAUGUGCUUUUCUUCCUGGAAGAUUCCUGAAAACCUGUUUUUAAAAAGUGAUUCUCUCCUAAGCAGCAAAUCAAUUUAAUACUUUACAAAAAAGUGUCACCAACCAAGCAGUAAAAUUACAUUUCAACCAUGAUCAAAUAAAUGUAGCAUAAUCAAUUAGGUGUUCAAACAUCUAAACACAAUUUCCAGACUCAUAAUUUAAUUCAGAAAGUGAUCUUCAAACUUAAAGGAAGGAUGGUAACACUUUCUUGCUUAUAAAGUGCAUAAUGGAGCACUCACGAAUAUGGGCAAAACUAUAGCAAUUUUAAAGAGACAUUUACUCUCAACCUUUACAUUUAUAAUUUAGCUAUGUUUUAGCUGAACAUAUAGAUCAUUAACCUUAUAUAAUGAUUUAUAAAGACACAAAUAUAUACUAUAUAUAUAACAAUAUUAUAGAAUUCUUUAUUUAGCCUGUAUUAUUAUUUCAAAAAGGCGUUGCAUUAAACAUCCAUGAUAGCAAUUAAUUGUAAAAGUCAACUAUCACAAUUUUUUUAUUAAAUGUAUGAGUUUCAUUUAUUUCUAAAAAGAAACUAAUUAUUCAGUUACCAAUACAAAAGAUUAAGUAAACUACUUAUUUAAGACAAUUAAAUUUACAUUUCCAAAAUGCUUAUUUAUUGAGGCCUAUAUAUUAGUCAAUAACUUUUUUGAGGAACUGGAAAUAAGAGGAUGAAUAAAAUAUUGUUUCAACUGUGUGUGACUCAAAACAGAUCAGUCACAUGCUAUUGUAUUAGUUAGUUGUUAGGGUUAGUAGUGCCUAGAACAAAAUUAACAUUAUACAAGCUGCGAUAAUCAUCUCAUUUUAUUGUCAUAGUUUUUUUUUAUUGUAUGUCUUCCCUUUUGGCAUGAAAGAAGUAUCUGUGUGUCUGUCACAGUUCAUGACACAUAAGCAUUUAAUAAUAUUCAAGGAGCAAGUGGUAUUGACUUAGCUCAAAUAAGUUUACCUGUAAUAUUUGAUAUAAAAUAUUUUAAAAUUGGUUUUCAUAAUAUUAAAUGUGAUAAAAGAAAUUAUGUGGUUCUGCAUAGGAUAUGUUAUAAUGGCUAUGUAAUAAUAGAAAAUGGAGUAUCUACCAACAAUGCUUUGUUUGUUUUGUUGUUUGUUUUGUUGGUUGUUUGAUUAGACAUCCAGUUUGUCCCAGUAAUGGUAAAGAAAAAUAGUUGUCUUUGUUGUUCUCCUAAAGUGCUCACUGGGAAGCUCAGUAGUUAACAUCUGCCUCACUGAGGCUGAUGCCUACAUGGUUAUGAGGAAAGAAGGAACAAAAAUCAAAAUUGUUCUUUGAUAAAGGAUUGCAGAAUGUAUUUAGGAUCAUAUCCUCAGAGUUUUUUUUGUUGUUACAAUAAAAGUGAAAGAUCAUGUACUAUCCCAUAUCUUUUUGGCAUUUAAAGUGGGAUUCAUGGUUAUGUUUAUAAAAGUAAAAUUUUUAAAGUAUAACUGCAUUUGCAUUGUAAAUUUUUAAAACAUAAUUUGAAUGUUAGGAUGGGACAUUUAUUAAAGCAUCGUGAAAUGUUAAUGUUCCAAGGAAAUAACUAGUUAUGUUAUGAGUAUCCAACACUAAUUUAAAUAUAAGUGGUAAUAGUGAAUGUCAUUAACAAGUGUGACUUUUAAAUGUUAUUUUAACCUGGUUAGCAUUUAUGAAAACAAAGCAGGCAUAAAGAAAGCUUCGUUGCAUUAUAAACUAGAAAGAUGGUAGAUGUUUUUUAAAAAAGAGGGCAUAAGUAAGUCUUUUAGAAAG
rnacentral:lncRNA from 10 species